rnacentral:rRNA from 1 species
UCAGGACGAACGCUGGCGGCACGCUUAACACAUGCAAGUCGAACGAACGGAGAUAGCUUGCUAUCAAAGUUAGUGGCGGACGGGUGAGUAACACGUGAGCAAUCUGCCUUUAAGUGGGGAAUAACGAUUGGAAACGGUCGGUAAUACCGCAUAAAAUAGCUGAACCGCAUGAUUUGGCUAUCAAAGAUUUAUCGCUUAAAGAUGAGCUCGCGUCUGAUUAGCUAGUUGGUGAGGUAACGGCCCACCAAGGCGACGAUCAGUAGCCGGACUGAGAGGUUGAACGGCCACAUUGGGACUGAGACACGGCCCAGACUCCUACGGGAGGCAGCAGUGGGGAAUAUUGCACAAUGGGCGCAAGCCUGAAUGCAGCGAUGCCGCGUGAGGGAAGAAGGUUUUCGGAUUGUAAACCUCUGUUGACAGGGACGAUAAUGACGGUACCUGUUCAGAAAGCUCCGGCUAACUACGUGCCAGCCGCCGC